CAUUGAGUGAUGAAAAGCAGCAGACCUGCCGCUUUUAUUGUGAAAAGCUGGGAGCAGAAGCAGUGGUUGUCUCCUGGUGAAACACAAACAGCUCGGAGAUAAAGUAGCGGUGGACAGACAGACGGACUGACAGACUGACUGACUGAUACCAGUGAUCUCCCCCACAGUCUGCACCACAGUUGACAAAAUAAGAGAAACACCAACUCCAGCUUGGUGGUAAUUAAAUCUCAGCUCCAGUUGGGAUUGUGUGCCAGCUUCAGAGGAGACAACCAACUCCUCAACUCCCAGCAUGAGUGAGUUAACAGACUUUGACAGGGGCCAAAUAGUUGGUGCACAGCUUGCAGGUCUGUCGGUCAGAAAAACUGCCCAGUUAUGUGAUGUGUCGAGUCGAACUGUCCUCAAAGUCAUGAGUGUUUAUAACAAACACGGAGACACUGUAUCAGCAAAGAAGAGCAGGAGGCAGGAGCCACAGAGCAAAAGGAGAAGACUGACAAAAGCUGAUGUUAAAGGAGGAGCUGCCAGUGGGAAACCAGUAUCUGAACCUCUGGUGGACACACAAAACCCAGAUGAAGAGAGCCACAGAGCCCAGACUAAAGACAAGGAGUAAUAUGGUCUGAUGAGCUGUGCUUCACUCUUUCUGUUAUAUUUAGAGUGGUUAAUGUGUGCAUAAAGCCUCAGGAUGCCUUCAUUUAAAUAAGCUAUAAAGACAUGUUUAGGUUUAAUUUAAAGGCUUGACAAUGGCCAGGGAAUAUGAGCCUUUUCUGUAAGCUAUGAUACAUUUACAGGCUUUUCCCAAGCUUUCUUGGUUAUGUUUUAUAACCUUCAGCUAGCAUUUAGCUGUGUGAGCUAAUGUCCAAAGUUCAAGGUAGAAUUUAUUGUCAUUCAAUACUCAGUAUACAGUCUAUACAGUAUGUACAGUAUACAGGGGGAACGUCAUUACAUUCCUCCUAUUCUGUACACUAUAAACAGAUACACACAGUAGUGUACAAGUAGUAUUACGUUGAGUAAAGUGCAAUGAAUGAAAUAUGUUGCUAAUAUCCAAACACUGAUAAUACCUCCUGUAUGUUAAUUAAAUUAAUGACUGUGCCUCUGAUGGGGACUGAUGUUGA